rnacentral:rRNA from 1 species
UACGUAGGGCGCAAGCGUUGUCCGGAAUUAUUGGGCGUAAAGAGCUCGUAGGUGGCUUGUUGCGUCUGCCGUGAAAGCCCGUGGCUUAACUACGGGUCUGCGGUGGAUACGGGCAGGCUAGAGGCUGGUAGGGGCAAGCGGAAUUCCUGGUGUAGCGGUGAAAUGCGCAGAUAUCAGGAGGAACACCGGUGGCGAAGGCGCCACUCUGGGCCGAAACUGACGCUGAGGAGCGAAAGCGUGGGUAGCAAACAGG